rnacentral:rRNA from 1 species
CCUACGGGAGGCAGCAGUGAGGAAUAUUGGUCAAUGGCCGGGAGGCUGAACCAGCCAAGUCGCGUGAGGGAAGACGGCCCUACGGGUUGUAAACCUCUUUUGUCAGGGAGCAAGGUGCAGGUCGGGACCUGCUGUGAGCGUACCUUCAGAACAAGCAUCGGCUAACUCCGUGCCAGCAGCCGCGGUAAUCCGGAGGAUGCGAGCGUUAUCCGGAUUUAUUGGGUUUAAAGGGUGCGCAGGCGGAGGCACAAGUCAGCGGUAAAAUCGCGUGUCUCAACCCCGCUCCGCCGUUGAAACUUUGGCCCUUGAGUGCGCGAAGGGUAGGCGGAAUGCGUGGUGUAGCGGUGAAAUGCAUAGAUAUCACGCAGAACUCCGAUCGCGAAGGCAGCCUACCGGAGCGCAACUGACGCUCAUGCACGAAAGCGUGGGUAUCGAACAGGAUUAGAUACCCUUGUAGUC